AGUGAACGCUGGCGGCGUGCCUAACACAUGCAAGUCGCACGAUGAGGAGCAGCUUGCUGCUCGGAUUAGUGGCGCACGGGCGAGUAACGCAUAGGUAAUGUGCCCCUUAGUCUGGGAUAGCCACUGGAAACGGUGAUUAAUACUAGAUACUCCUUCUUACUAUAAGGAGAGUCGGGAAAGUUUUUCGCUAAUGGAGCAGCCUAUGUCCUAUCAGGUUGUUGGUGAGGUAACGACUCCCAAAGGCUAUGACGGGUAUCUGGUUUGAGAGGAUGGAUCGACACACUGGAACUGAGACGCGGUACAGACUCCUACGGGAGGCAGCAGUGAGGAAUAUUACACAAUGGGGGAAACUCAGAUGGAGCAACGCCGCGUGGAGGAUGACGCAUUUCGGUGUGUAAACUCCUUUUAAGAGGGAAGAUUAUGACGAUACCUCUUGAAUAAGCACCGGCUAACUCCGUGCCAGCCGCCGCGGUAA
rnacentral:rRNA from 1 species